rnacentral:rRNA from 1 species
GACGAACGCUGGCGGCGUGCUUAACACAUGCAAGUCGAACGGAAAGGCCCUGCUUUUGUGGGGUGCUCGAGUGGCGAACGGGUGAGUAACACGUGAGUAACCUGCCCUUGACUUUGGGAUAACUUCAGGAAACUGGGGCUAAUACCGGAUAGGAGCUCCUGCUGCAUGGUGUGGGUUGGAAAGUUUCGGCGGUUGGGGAUGGACUCGCGGCUUAUCAGCUUGUUGGUGGGGUAGUGGCUUACCAAGGCUUUGACGGGUAGCCGGCCUGAGAGGGUGACCGGCCACAUUGGGACUGAGAUACGGCCCAGACUCCUACGGGAGGCAGCAGGGGGGAAUAUUGCACAAUGGGCGGAAGCCUGAUGCAGCAACGCCGCGUGCGGGAUGACGGCCUUCGGGUUGUAAACCGCUUUCGCCUGUGACGAAGCGUGAGUGACGGUAAUGGGUAAAGAAGCACCGGCUAACUACGUG